CGCUCAGAUGGCCUAGUGGUUCGAGUGUCCGCCUCAGAUGUGGGAGGUUGUGGGUUCGAUCCCAGUUGAGUCA